rfam:Bordetella sp. SCN 67-23 ABS43_C0002, whole genome shotgun sequence.
UAGCUAUCCGCUAAUCGGCCAAGCCGUGUCGCGGAAGGUCCGUCCUGCAUCGAACGGGUGAAACACCCGGCAAGGUGAAGCG